rnacentral:tRNA from 1 species
GCCAUAGUUAAAUGGUAUAACGUCGGGUUGUGGUUCCGAUAUUACGGGUUCAAUUCCCGUUGG